AGUGAACGCUGGCGGUAGGCCUAACACAUGCAAGUCGAACGGCAGCACAGUAAGAGCUUGCUCUUACGGGUGGCGAGUGGCGGACGUGUGAGGAAUACAUCGGAAUCUACUUUUUCGUGGGGGAUAACGUAGGGAAACUUACGCUAAUACCGCAUACGACCUACGGGUGAAAUCAUGUGUUCUUCGGACCUUUCGCGUUUGUAUGAGCCGAUGUCGGAUUAGCUAGUUGGCUGGGUAAAGGCCCACCAAGGCGACGAUCUGUAGCUUGUCUGAGAGGAUGAUCAGCCACACUGGAACUGAGACACGGACCAGACACCUACGGGAGGCAGCAGUGGGGAAUAUUGGACAAUGGGCGCAAGCAUGAUCCAGCAAUACCGCGUGGGUGAAGAAGGCCUUCGGGUUGUAAAGCCCUUUUGUUGGGAAAGAAAAGAAGCAGGUUAAUACCCCGAUGUUCUGACGGUACCCAAAGAAUAAGCACCGGCUAACUUCGUG
rnacentral:rRNA from 1 species